UCACAAUUCUGAUUGAGUUUAUAGUAGUUUGUAAAGUUCAUCUUGUCUGCACCAAAAUAUUUCCCAUUCCAACCUGAGUUUUACGUCCAUGAUCGCCUGCUAUCUGAUGUAAUGGCCGGACAAGGGAGUACAGGCUAGGGUUGUCAAGUUCUUUCAAUUGAGCUUUUGAACACCACACCAUUGAUUUAAGUUUAUUGGACAGAAAGAUCACCAGAUUUGACUGGGGAAUCAGAUACAUCAGCAAAUGUGGUGAGGGCAAAUUGAAGCUUAUUCCCACGUCUUUC
rnacentral:lncRNA from 1 species